UACGUAGGGUGCGAGCGUUGUCCGGAAUUACUGGGCGUAAAGAGCUCGUAGGUGGUUUGUCGCGUUGUUCGUGAAAACUCACAGCUCAACUGUGGGCGUGCGGGCGAUACGGGCAGACUGGAGUACUGCAGGGGAGACUGGAAUUCCUGGUGUAGCGGUGGAAUGCGCAGAUAUCAGGAGGAACACCGGUGGCGAAGGCGGCAUCCUGGACCGACAUUGACGCUGAGGCGCGAAAGCCAGGGGAGCAAACGGG
rnacentral:rRNA from 1 species